UACGUAGGGUGCAAGCGUUAAUCGGAAUUACUGGGCGUAAAGCGUGCGCAGGCGGCUUUGCAAGACAGAUGUGAAAUCCCCGGGCUUAACCUGGGAACUGCAUUUGUGACUGCAUGGCUGGAGUGCGGCAGAGGGGGAUGGAAUUCCGCGUGUAGCAGUGAAAUGCGUAGAUAUGCGGAGGAACACCGAUGGCGAAGGCAGUGUUCUGGGCCAGUACUGACGCUGAGGAGCGAAAGCGUGGGGAGCAAACAGG
rnacentral:rRNA from 1 species